CUGCUUUUCUUGUACUGUGUGUAGACUUCAAGCUCAAAAUGACCGUUCUUCAAAGUCCGUUUGUUAAUGAUAUCUACUGUCUGCACUGCUUUUUUAUAAUACCAUCUCAUCCAACAGGGGGUUCACAUACUAUCAAAUUGGCUACCUGGACAACCGUAUUGCCAACCCAGACCAGCUGAUAACUCAAGAUGUGGAGAAAAUCUGUAACAGUGUGGUGCACCUCAACUCUAAUGUCAGCAACGUAAUGCAGAAAACAUGAAAAAACUAAGAAUUUUCUGUAAUUCUGAACCAUUUGUCUUCAGUUUGAGCAUACUUGAUUAUUUUCUCUUUUCAUGCAGCCUCUAGACAUAUUGAUCUGUAUCUGCAAACUGCUCUUUUAUGCCUGUUUCAUAGAAAUUACCAGCUAAUUUUGUCCAUCAGUCUCAACUUUAAGUUUGAAACCUCUGCCUGCUCUUAUGUAGGGUCCAGCUAGCUUGCUGAUCUAUAGUGUAUAGUGUAUAGCUGUACUAUAGCAUAUCUGGUGUUCUCCAGUCUGCUCCUUACAAGGCUACGCAGGCCGAUUGGCAAGAUGACUAUAACUGAGCAGAGGUAUGAGGGGGAGUACAGAAGUGUCAGCUCUCGCUUCAUCACUAACAGAUUGCAUUCUACAAUGGAAACAGGAGAGAAAAAGCAAACUAUCAAUGGAACAUUCCAGAGACUGGUGAGGAAAAUAAAAAUGGUUUUGAUUUCUAUUAGAAUUCGAACACAAUGUUGGUCAAACUUUUUAAAUCAGACUUCUCAGUUUUUCAAGUGGACCACUUGAGUCGCUACACUUCCGUUUCUCAGUGGGUGUUAUGGACAGCAUCAUAGUCAAAUCCAUAGUGGUGGGCUAACUGGUUAUAAGAAGGCCGUUCCUGGACCUCACAAACCAGCGGAAAGUGAACAGCACACACUUAGAAGGACUGGAAAUGAGACUACUACCAGAGUGGGCGGAUGUCGAUGAGUUUGGCGCAGGCCCUGGGAAGGCAGAGAUAUGACAGGACUGUCAGGGUUCACUGCACACAUCACAGAAAUUCAGGAAGUCCUUAAGGAGCGGAAUUCAGUCAGAUAUGAACAGACCAUGGUUACAAAGAGAAUCAAAGAGAUGAUUCAGUAGAGAAAAUCCCUCUUACCCUGGGAGAGAUCCAGUCAUCAUCAUCAUCAUCAUGACAUGAUCACUUUAUAUGAAGAACAGAUUAAAUUUAGACUUUUAUUUACCUAUAAACAUUGAUCAACAAUCCACAUACGUAUACUGUAGAAAAAGAUCAACCAUGCUUGCUUGACACAAAAGAAUGAAGUUUGUUUACCCGUGUCACACAACUUCGGUUGACCAUAUUUGAUGAGCUUUAUGACUGUGGAAAUCCAUUUUUAUUUGUGAAUAAAAGCCUAAAUUAUAUCUUAUCUUAAUAUAAAGUACAAAAGUACAUAAAGUAAAAAUGUUUGUUCAGAGGACUUAAUUUGCUUAAUUCAUAUAGAUUACUUUUAUAAU